AACACCAUCUCUCAGAUGGGAUCUGAAACCAAGACCUUGCCUCAUUCCGUCCCAGAGGUGCAUUGUUACAGAGGCAAGAAGAACCCACCAUCCAAGGGCAAGGUAGUGCUAACCAACAUGAAGAUACUGAGCAACGAAGAGAGUCAAACCCAGGGGUUGACAGGAGAGCCACCUGCAGCCAUGGACUUUGCAGAGGAAUCCAGGCUUCCCAAAGUCGACAUCCCAUUAGAAUGCCAGGGAAAUCUGGGCACAAGAGACACCUCUUCAAAACCAGACUAUGUGGCCACCCUGUCUGACCUCAGCACCUUAGAGUCCAAGUGCCAGCUUCACAGAUUCUCCAAAUUUGAAUCAGAGGAUUCUGGGGUUGAAUUGCCAAGUGGAGCCAAUUCUCCGUCUACACCAACAGGCUCAGAGAAGAGCUUUGUGCUUCACACCAGAGACUCGUCUUGUGACUCUGGAGUGCUCAGCACCUCUUCUUCUCCGGGAAUUGACCAUGUCAUAAUGAGAAAGUGUAAAGACAUCAGAGAAACCAGCCAGUGUGCUUCAGAUAGUGAAAAGCAAGUUGAAUAUUACAGCCAGGCAGCAGACGUGGUGCAGAUCCCUACAGCUUCCCUGGAAGAUUUCAGUGACUGUCAAGAGGGAGAAAGUCCUAAUAAACUUUUUGGCCAAAGUGAAGGACAAUAUUUUGAAGAGAAACCCAGGAAAGAGAUAGACCUUUCCAUUACAGAAACUCCUCCAGCUGCUGCCCACAUAGAAGAGAAAAGGCCAAUCACCAACCGUUACAAAGAGACCUUUGGGAGGAUGCAAGAACUUCAGCUCCAUGGACAUCAGCUCAAAAAGUAUCCCACGAGCGACAGCCUGGAUGAGUACAUGGAUGAGUGCUGUCGAUUAAGUGAGGUGAACCAAGGGAACACCAAGGCUCUCGGCUCUGGUCUGGGGUAUCUGGAACACAUCUGUCAGCUGAUAGAGAAAAUCGGGCAGCUGCAGGAGCACAAUCUGCGACUCCAAAAGCAAGUGUGCGGUUUGCAGAAGGAGCAGAAGAUGAGCCAGAUAAAGGAGGAGUAUUUUCUGCAGCACUGUUCCUGUGGAGCUGCCAGCAUCUUGCUCAAUUCAUACCAGGAAGUGAAGAAAUUUUUUACUGAGAGGAGCAGACCGCACAGUCUCUUGGUUCAGAGUGGAAACCAGUCCGACCUUUCGAUCAUCCCAGAAAGAGGAAGUGACACACACCUGGAAUCAGGAGAUAGACAGCUGGUGCUGGGGCUCAGGAAGACCUGGAGUAAAAGGAGCAAUGAGGAGAAUGACCUCAGAGAUGCCUAUAAUCUGACUGAUGGCCGAGCUUUCCUGCUAAAGGACCCAAUGACGAAAAAGGGGGCUGACCUCGGCAAGAGUAGCCCAGGUGAAACCCACGCUUGGGGCAGAAUGAGGGAUCUCAUGAAGAAGACCAGGCUGAGGAACCAGAGCAAGUUGGGGCUGUCAUCGGCAGCUCUGAAGAGGUCCUGCCCACAGCUCUACAGGCCAGAUGUUAAGACUUCGGAUCGGAGGAAGAUGGAGAGGAACUCCAUGAUUGUUCUGGGACAAAGCACAAAGAAUGAAAACAUCUGGCCUUUCUGAGCAUCUGAAUCCAGUGGACCAAGAUAAAAGAGUUAUCAGGGAGGAGGCUUUUUCCUUCCUCCAGCAGAGAAAGGUAAAUGAGCUGGGGCGCUGUUGGACAUGAAAUUGAAAACCGCGAGGCUACAUUGUGCAGACUAUGCUCUACAGCAGGAUCAGCAUCAAGGUGCCAGGGAGGGAGGAGAGGUAAAAGAAAGAUUUGCUGAAGGGCGGGGUGCUCAGCUGUACUAGAGUUUACUCUUGACAUGAAUGUAAAAGUGAACUUAAAACAAUGCUAUAUACCAGGAAUAUAGUUACCAUCUCAGCAAUAAUAAUCAAGCAGGUUUGAUACAAUUUCAUAAACAAGCUACCUUAAGUCCUCCUGCUUGUGAAGUAUUAUUGAUUUCCUGGGCUUUAUGCAGCAGAAAUAGGCUAGACCCUCAUAGAACACCAGUGCUUUAAGGAAAAACAAAGAUUGGGAGACUACAUGUAGUAGACAGUGCUGGGUGUGGGCAGCAGUGCAAGACUUAAGGGUUUUUUUGUAUCUCCACUUGUGGGUAUUACUAACAAGUCUGCACAUUUUGAAGGUGUCUCCACCAGCAGUGACUGGCUGGGGAGUUUUACUGAGGUCCCAUGCAAUGGCCAACUCAAUCAAAGCCACCAACCAAGAUUUUCUAAAGCUGGAUUUGUAAGUACAAGGUUAGGUGCCAAUCUUGUGCGUGUGACCCCCUUUGCCAGUCUGGAGCUUCACUGACCUCAGUGGGUCCCCACGCAGACAGAGGGUUACAGCCAUGCAGAGAUUAUUGCAGGACACUGGGGCCUUCAACCGUUCAGCACCUAAUAAGUGGCCUGAUUUUUAAAAGUGCUGAGUGAGCUGCCCACCCAGGUCCUUGGUUUCACUGGGUACUCAGGAUUUUGGAAAGCCAGGCCACUUUAUUAGGAGCCAAAUGCAGGAUCCUGUUUUUAAAGGUUAUGGCCAUGUUGGGUGAAGGCUCCUGGUCUGUUUGGCUGCCUGUGCAUCACCAUGUGCCAUAGCAUUUAAGAGGCAAAAAAGACAAAUGAACUUAAACCUAUGCCUGUGGAUCAAGUACUGGAUUGGGGCUCCCUCUGCUGGGAAAGUUAGAAUAAUGGGGAGAUUGGGGAUGGAAAGGAAAGUUUUAAGUCUCUAUUACAAGCCAGGGUAGUUCUUUUUCCAGCUAAGGUCUAUAGGCCUGUCCUCUGUUAUCUACUAGAUAGCUUUAAGGCUAUGCCCAGCUGUUUGGAGGCUGCACUGUUGCCACUCAUCCAUUGCCCACCUUUAACAGAUUCAGAGGACACAAACCAUGGUUAAAAAUGUCCCAUUGAAGCCAUGACUAGAGCAGCAUCUCUGUGCAUGUGCUAUAAACCCACAUUUCUUUUUUGCUACAAGCUCAGAAUCCAAAGACUCUCCCACAUGGAGUGAAAACUAGUCUUUGCCUAUUGGGGGAAGGGAAUUCUAUCUGCUAAAUUGGAAUUAGAUAGCUGAGCUGUUUAGCAAACAAAGUCCACAGACGCAAGUUACUGCUAACUAAAGCCCCAACUUCACAUAUAUCUGGAACCCUAGGACACUCUCAGAAACUAACAGGCAAACUUCAAAAGAUUCAGAGUUUGAAUAACUCUCCAAAACCUUAAGUGAAUUUCCUCUGCUCAUCUGGGCUAUCAGGAACCUAUUGGUUCUACAAAACUGGGUUAGAACUCUCUGGAGGACAGGAUCUGCCAGUAUUUCUGCCCAAGUGCAGAGCCAAAGGUGUAAAUAAAGUAAGCUAGCCAAGCUAAAGCUGGACCCAAGCUGCUAAAGUCUGAACAGGAUCCAGACUUGGGGAGGAAGAGGAUGUUAAAUCCAGGCAGCUUAUCUAGAUUUAGAACCCAGUAACAAAAUUCUGGAUCCAAACUUACUCCACAUUUGUGGCUGGUUUUGGCCCAUUUCUAAUACAAACACUUGAGAAUAUUUUAUAAAGAAUUUUGUUCUUAUGACAGACAAUGACCUGAGGUGAAACAGCUGUUAUUUAUCAGAACCUCUUUGGACAUACAGGCCAAAAAUACCAAGAAUGUUCUCUAAUCUGGCGGGGCAGGGGGAGCAUCUUGAGAUGCCUUCAAAGGUGCUGAGCACCUACAACUCCAAGGGAACUCAUAUGAAGCUAUGGGAAGCUCAGUACCUCUGAAAAUCGGGCACAAACUGUCUCAGAUUGAGCAUCCAAAAA